rnacentral:rRNA from 1 species
UGAACGCUGGCGGCAUGCUUUACACAUGCAAGUCGAACGGUAACAGGCCUUCGGGUGCUGCCGAGUGGCGAACGGGUGAGUAAUGCAUCGGAACGUGCCCAGAGGUGGGGGAUAACGCAGCGAAAGCUGUGCUAAUACCGCAUGUGAUCUGAGGAUGAAAGCGGGGGACCAGGCAGCAAUGUUUGGCCUCGCGCCUUUGGAGCGGCCGAUGUCAGAUUAGGUAGUUGGUGGGGUAAAGGCCUACCAAGCCGACGAUCUGUAGCUGGUCUGAGAGGACGACCAGCCACACUGGGACUGAGACACGGCCCAGACUCCUACGGGAGGCAGCAGUGGGGAAUUUUGGACAAUGGGCGCAAGCCUGAUCCAGCAAUGCCGCGUGCGGGAAGAAGGCCUUCGGGUUGUAAACCGCUUUUGUACGGAACGAAAAGGCUCUGGCUAAUACCUGGGGCUGAUGACGGUACCGUAAGAAUAAGCACCGGCUAACUACGUG